GACGUAGGGUGCGAGCGUUGUCCGGAUUUAUUGGGCGUAAAGAGCGCGUAGGCGGCUCGUCGCGUCGACCGUGAAAACCCGCGGCUUAACUGCGGGCUUGCGGUUGAUACGGGCGGGCUAGAGUUCGGUAGGGGAGACUGGAAUUCCUGGUGUAGCGGUGAAAUGCGCAGAUAUCAGGAGGAACACCGGUGGCGAAGGCGGGUCUCUGGGCCGAUACUGACGCUGAGGAGCGAAAGCGUGGGGAGCGAACAGG
rnacentral:rRNA from 1 species